GGGGUUGUGGCUCAGUGGUAGAGUGCAAGACUUGCGUGUUUGAAGCACUAGGUUCCAUCCUCAGCACCA
rnacentral:tRNA from 1 species